CCGUGGUCAGGCGAACUGCGCAUUUGCCUUGCUUGCCCCUUCCAUUGCUUCAACCAUGUUUACCUCAGUGAAUAACCUUUUAAACCCAUUUCUCACGUUUCCAUCCAUACCAUUCGAUGACCCAACAACCUUUGGCGAUAGCGUCUUGUUAUCCACCCCUUUCAACAGGACCAUCAUUUCCUUACUGGUUGACUUUUCGUCCAAACUGGUUUUGCUAGAACGGAUUACCGUCUACGAAAGUUUCUUAGGUUUUCCUCCUUUAUGCAUCAAUUCGUUCAUAUGAGCCUCAUGGUGAGAUGGCAACGGAUUCC
rnacentral:lncRNA from 1 species